AUUGGUGAGCGCUGGUUGUGCUCGUCGGUCUCCAAAACCGUACGGCGAGGGUUCGAAUCCCUCCACCUUUGCCA
rnacentral:tRNA from 4 species